GUCAACUACCCCCGUCUAAAGACGGAGGCAUGAAGCCUUGGAGUUGACCAGCCUCAGCCCGUACCGCAAGGUCAAUGGGCUACGUUAUCCCGGUCAUGGCACCCCGGGGUGCUUGGGCCAGCUUCGGGCAACUGCCGUCCGGCAUUAAACAGGCAUACGGGGUUGAAGCCAGUGUGCCGGACAGGACAAGCCGGGAUAACAUUGGCGAGGCCCACAUUAC
rfam:Caldalkalibacillus thermarum TA2.A1 ctg183, whole genome shotgun sequence.